rnacentral:misc_RNA from 1 species
CAACCAUCAAGCCCCCGGCUUGUGUUGGGGACCUGCGGCUGCCGCAGGCCCUGAAAACCAGUGGCGGGCUCGCUGUCACCCCGAGCGUAGUAGUUACUUCUCGCUCUGGGCGUGCUGCGGGUUCCGGCCGUUAAAAGCCUUAUUUUACCCAA